UCAGUUUCCCUUCCCUCAUCAGAGAGAAAGAAACCCUCUGAAACAGAUCCAAGUAUGACUUUUCAGCUGAAAACCGAUGCUCGAUUCUUUGACCUGCACUGCUGUGUUGGUCUGACAGACUGGGACAUGGAUAAAGAGCUGAAACUGGCUACUACCACUGACCAAAUUCAUCAUGAUGACAAACCAAAUGAUCAAUAUGUGGCUCAAAGACCUUCUGCAAGGGCCUCGAGAAGAAAAGAUGAAUUCAUUUGGUACGAUAAAACAUCAGAUACAUUUGUUAAACCAAACCCGUGCCUUUGGGUGAAUCCCAACAUCGUCUGUCCAAUCGAAUAUAUAUCCAG